rnacentral:lncRNA from 1 species
GGCCUGGAGGAGAAGGAGAAUGCAAAAUGGAAGCGCGAGAUGGAAAUCGUCUCCUGCUGGGAAAGGGCAAGGCCACCCCAGACCUUGGGAGGAGGAGGACUCCACUUCCAGCCCAUCUACAGAGAGGGGUCAAAACAGCUUCUUGGUCUUGUCCCUCAUUGGAAAACUUCUAUACUGACACUGAGCCCCUCCGAAAUUGCCCAUGAGGGAGAACUUCAUGUAAUCUGACUGAGACAGGCUGCAGAGAUUGAUGGGAUGUGCUGAGCAGCAUCCUGGAAUCACUGACUUGGCCCCAAGUUCCACCGGGAAGCAGAGGUUAGGAGCAUUGUUCUGGUCUCAGUCCCACUGGCUCCGAGGUGCUGGCCAAGGCCUGGCCCAUGUUUAAGCCUUGAUUUCCCCAUCAGGGACGGAGUGAGGGUGUGAAGGAGCUAAGGAGCCCUAUCCUGACUUAUAGGACAAGCAACGGAUUGGCUUAACGCUCUUGGGCCUGCCCUACGUCUUCUGUAAGAGAGCGGGGAGUCGCCGCGAGUGGAGAAGGGUGGAGGCUGGCCAUGGGGGUCUCCACCAGCCUCCGAGCUGGAGGAGAAAGGAGAGCUCUGUCGGAACAGAGGAAGGAGGGUCGCAAAGAAGGCUGCACACCCGGCUCCCAGACAGAUCCUGGUGUCUCUCCACCCAGGAUCUCCUUCACUGCUGUCCAAACCUCAGCCCGGAAGUCCUGAUGGUGAUUAAACCUCCAUGUUUCUUGCUGCAGUUUCAGCUGGUGUUUUUAGGGACAGUGGGAGUCGGCUGGUUUUUCCUUGCUUUUUGCAGACCUGAACCCCAAGUCUGAUCAUGUUUCUGCUAGACCCUUUGAGGGCCAAGAUCCUCUUCUUCCUGGAAGAACGUUAUUCUAGAGGGGCUCUCGUUAACUGAUUUUUAGUAGAGUUGUCUUCUGCUGGGUAACACUGCUUGGGAUCUGCAGCCACCCUAGGAGGUCUUCACAUCCACCUGCCUGCCUCCAGGAGCCACAUCCAAGCGGUCUCCCGGAGACGGGGCUCUCCCUCAUUCCUGAGAGCCUCUA